rnacentral:lncRNA from 1 species
AAAAACCCUACACUUAUUUCUGAGGCCAGCUCAAAAGGUUUUAUGAUUGUCUUCCCAGUUUUUUGCAGUCAAAAUUAAUUUCUUUGUCUUGGUAUAACGUGUGUGUGCAAAACGUGGUUGCAUGGAUUAUUUUUCAAAGAGAGAGCUGAGCAUGUUCAUAGGCUGAAAGGAAAGCCACAGUAGAGAGUUUUCCGUGGAAGGUGAGGCAGGGGCAUAGGUGGAGGAGGCCCCAAGGAAUGAGGAGAGGAAAGGAGGUGGGCAGAGCUUUACCCCAGAGGCGAGCAGAGGAUGGACGUGGAUCCAGAUAAGACGUCAGCUCGUUCCCUAAAGGUCGUGCUAAAGGAGUAAUGAGGUGACCAGUGCGCAGGGGUUUGAGAAGCCCCGUGGAUGUGGUGAACUAGCUGUGGGGAGAGUAUUUGGCGACGCUCAAUAGAUUCAGGAGGAGCUACUAGGAUGAAUGGUUGCCGUGUGCCACGGCUCUACAGGGUUUCACGUAUGUCAUCUCACGUGAUCUUCUGGGGCGCGGGUGUCUUCGUUUUCUAGAUGACCAAUCGGAAGCUCAAAGAGAAUGAAUAAUUGGCCCAAGACCACCCAGCUAAGGAGUGGCGGAGGUGGGGCCCAAAUGCGCGCUCCAGCCCUCGCGCAGGCGCCCUGGAACUCGCCGCGCGUGUUGUGACCCAGAAUUCCCGGGGCUGUGGAAGAGACCAUAGACUCAACAGGAGGGGGAGUCCUGGGUAGCGCACCGAUCUACAUCGUUACUUGGCGGAAAGUUCCCAUGAGUCUUUGCCAGCGUCCCCCUCGUUUUGUGAGGAAUGGGAUAUUCCGACUCCUUAAGGGCCUGGAGCACAUAAGGUGUGACCUUUUCAUUCCCGUUGUCAUGGAGGUAGGCUCUCUAGGAAUCUGGGAGUAGUAGCGGGGGGGGCAAGAGCAAAUAAAGAGCUCGAGCUUCUGUGGUCUCUGGGGAGAUGUUCCCGGGAAGCCUGGCUAGAGGGCGGAGGGCAGCUGUUGAGAUGGCGUGGCUUCCCGGCUCCUGCGCCCGCGUGGCUUUCGCGGCGGUCGCUGCGGCCCGGCAUUGGACAGCCUGGCAGGGCAGCGCGGGGCCGAAUCUGGCUGCCGUGGCAGAGGCUCAUGGAUCACUCCUUUGUGGUAGGGCCACAUCUGCCAGAGCCUGGAGUCUGCGAAGGCCGGGACCCGGUUCCCCGGCCCGCCGUGGGGAGUGUGCAAACCCGAGAGAACUGGAUUGCGUACCCACUGCAGAGGGCUGA